UGAGCUGCGGUGCUGCAGCCGGGGUUAACUGGAGGUAGCAAGGGUUGGUCGGGAUUAUUGGGGUGAAAGGGCGCGUAGGCGGUUUGGUAAGUCAGAUGUGAAAUCCAACGUCUUAACCGUAUGAACUGCUUCUGAGACUGCCAUACUUGAGAGCAGUAGAGUAGAGGAGAAUUCCCAGUGUAGCGGUUGAAUGCGUAGAUAUUGGGAAGAACACCGGUGGCGAAGGCGGCUCACUGGCUCGGUACUGACGCUGAGGAGCGACAGCGUGGGGAGCAAACAGGAUUAGAUACCCGGGUAGUC
rnacentral:rRNA from 1 species